rnacentral:rRNA from 1 species
CAAUAGCGUAUAUUUAAGUUGUUGCAGUUAAAAAGCUCGUAGUUGGAUUUCGGAUGGGAUUUGCCGGUCCGUCGUUACGAUGUGCACUGGCCAGUCCUAUCUUGUUGUCGGGGACUAGCUCCUUGGAUUCACUUCCUGGGACUAGGAGCUGACGAGGUUACUUUGAGUAAAUUAGAGUGUUCAAAGCAAGCCUACGCUCUGAAUACAUUAGCAUGGAAUAACACGAUAGGACUCUGGCUUAUCUUGUUGGUCUGUGAGACCAGAGUAAUGAUUAAGAGGGACAGUCGGGGACAUUCGUAUUUCAUCGUCAGAGGUGAAAUUCUUGGAUUUAUGAAAGACGAACUUCUGCGAAAGCAUUUGUCAAGGAUGUUUUCAUUAA